AUUCCUUAGAAGUAUUUGAUACUGAAAAAUUUGCAGCACCACAUACAAAUACUUCAUGUUGCACAUCGACUGCUUCAGAUGGAAGGAGUGUGACCCAGACUCUCUCAGAUAUUGGUAGAGUAGAGGAAUUCCCAAAACUGAGAAACUUGCAUAAGAUCAAGCUGUAGAUGAAAACGUGCUGCAAAGUCUUUUAUUCUAUUUCAUAUAUGAAUACAACAAAAUAGUGGUAUACAAUAAUGAUUAUUUUAAGACUUAUGGAUUGUUAUUACAUUAUUUUCUUUCAAAAUUGCAAUGAUUGCACCAGUCUGUUGAUACCCCUCAUCAAAGAAACUAUGUGUAUUUCCUUUAUUUUCAAAUUUGAUAGUAUCUGUCCAUUGUCAUGUUGUCACACUUUCAGAAUCCUAUUGUUUCGUUUAUAUAUUCUAUUUUCCAGAUCUAUAUGUACUAAAAAUGAUUGAAAAUUUUUAUCUUGUAAUAGUGUGGUACUCACCACAUUUUCAAUUGUGCAAUAUGGUUGAAAACAAAAUAAUACUUGAUUCAAAUUCAGCAAUGAAUUCAGUAAUCUAAUAAAAGAAUUAUGCUUUCUAAUUAAUCCCUCUUAUUAUAAAUGUUGCAUAUAGUAAAUGUUGAGCUACAGGAUUAUUGUGAUAUGUUUUUAUAAAGAAAUUUUUGUCAGUAUUAAGUUUUCAAUCAUUUAAUAACAACAUUCAAUCAUUUAAAUUUUAAGUAUAAUUUUGAUAAAGACGCAUUAACUAUUUUGAGAAUUGUCUGAGUCUUAGUUAAUUUUGUGAGCUCCUUAUUGACCUAUUAAUUUAUGUCAUUGUACUGUAAUGUUUUUCUGGAUGGAGUUGUAUAAUAAUAAUUAAGAAUUGUUCUUAUAAGAUUUUGUUCAUUUUUUCUAUAGGAAUAUUUCUUCUAUUCCUGUUCGACUACAAAAGCAAAUUUUAAUGAAUUAUUGCAAUUAAUUUCUGAAUAAAAUGUAGAAAACAAAAUUCAAGGCUAUAUCACAUAUUAUUUUCUACUGAAAUACUAGCUAUCAACAUGAUCGAAUCUGUAUUUUUGGAAUUAUUGAAAAAAUAAAUUUUUCCUCACAUCA